AAAUAUGUCCCAUCAGUUUAGUCAUUUUAAUAUUCUCACUCAUCAGACAUUUUUUGGGAACACCAUAUGCCUUUUCAUGCAGUCAGUUUCAAGAAAAUGAAAAUUACUUUUUAUAUGUUUAUACUCAAAGCUUGGCUAGAGAUAAGUCUCCCCUUCCUUAAGUUGGGGAGAAAGUGAUUUCUUCCAGGCUAUAGUCAAAAGA
rnacentral:lncRNA from 1 species